AUACGAAAGGUGCAAGCGUUGUUGGGAUUUACUGGGCGUAAAGAGAGUGUAGGUGGUUUAUUAAGUCGGAUGAGAAAUCCCGGGGCUCAACCUCGGAACUGCAUUCGAUACUGAUAGGCUAGAGUUUGGGAGGGGUAAGCGGAAUUCCGUGUGUAGCAGUGAAAUGCGUAGAUAUACGGCGGAACACCUGAGGCGAAGGCGGCUUACUGGACCAAUACUGACACUGAGACUCGAAAGCGUGGGUAGCAAACAGGAUUAGAAACCCUAGUAGUCC
rnacentral:rRNA from 1 species